rnacentral:rRNA from 1 species
UACGGAGGAUGCAAGCGUUAUCCGGAUUUAUUGGGUUUAAAGGGUGCGCAGGUUGUUUGAUAAGUCAGUGGUGAAAGUCUGUCGCUUAACGGUAGGAUUGCCAUUGAUACUGUUGGACUUGAAUAUGGAUGAGGCAGGCGGAAUGUGUAGUGUAGCGGUGAAAUGCAUAGAUAUUACACAGAACACCGAUCGCGAAGGCAGCUUACUAAUCCAUCAUUGACGCUGAGGCACGAAAGCGUGGGGAUCAAACA